rnacentral:rRNA from 1 species
CCUACGGGAGGCAGCAGUGGGGAAUUUUGGACAAUGGGCGCAAGCCUGAUCCAGCAAUGCCGCGUGAGUGAAGAAGGCCUUCGGGUUGUAAAGCUCUUUUGUCAGGGAAGAAACGGCCGGGGAUAAUACCUUCGGCUAAUGACGGUACCUGAAGAAUAAGCACCGGCUAACUACGUGCCAGCAGCCGCGGUAAU